rnacentral:rRNA from 1 species
AUUGAACGCUGGCGGCAUGCUUUACACAUGCAAGUCGAACGGUAACAGGUUAAGCUGACGAGUGGCGAACGGGUGAGCAAUGCAUCGGAACGUGCCCGAUCGUGGGGGAUAACGCAGCGAAAGCUGCGCUAAUACCGCAUACGAUCUGAGGAUGAAAGCGGGGGCCCGUAAGGCCUCGCGCGAUCGGAGCGGCCGAUGUCAGAUUAGGUAGUUGGUGGGGUAAAGGCACACCAAGCCAACGAUCUGUAGCUGGUCUGAGAGGACGACCCGCCACACUGGGACUGAGACACGGCCCAGACGCCUACGGGAGGCAGCAGUGGGGAAUUUUGGACAAUGGGCGAAAGCCUGAUCCGGCAAUGCCGCGUGCAGGAAGAAGGCCUUCGGGUUGUAAACUGCUUUUGUACGGAGCGAAAAGGCCCUCUCUAAUACAGUGGGCUCAUGACGGUACCGUAAGAAUAAGCACCGGCUAACUACGUGCCAGCCGCCGCAGUAA